ACGCUGGCGGCGUGCUUAAACACAUGCAAGUCGAGCGAUGAAAUUCUCUUCGGAGAAUGGAUUAGCGGCGGACGGGUGAGUAACACGGUGGGUAACCUGCCUUAUAGGUGGGGGAUAGCCUUUCGAAAGGAAGAUUAAUACCGCAUAAUAUUGUGGUUUCGCAUGAAACAACAAUUAAAGAUUUAUCGCUAUAAGAUGGACCCGCGGCGCAUUAGCUAGUUGGUGGGGUAACGGCCUACCAAGGCGACGAUGCGUAGCCGACCUGAGAGGGUGAUCGGCCACAUUGGGACUGAGACACGGCCCAGACUCCUACGGGAGGCAGCAGUGGGGAAUAUUGCACAAUGGGGGAAACCCUGAUGCAGCAACGCCGCGUGAGUGAUGACGGUCUUCGGAUUGUAAAGCUCUGUCUUUAGGGACGAUAAUGACGGUACCUAAGGAGGAAGCCACGGCUAACUACGUG
rnacentral:rRNA from 1 species